rnacentral:rRNA from 1 species
UACGAAGGGGGCUAGCGUUGCUCGGAAUGACUGGGCGUAAAGGGCGCGUAGGCGGUUUGUACAGUCAGAUGUGAAAUUCCUGGGCUUAACCUGGGGACUGCAUUUGAGACGUGCAGACUUGAGUGUGGAAGAGGGUCGUGGAAUUCCCAGUGUAGAGGUGAAAUUCGUAGAUAUUGGGAAGAACACCGGUGGCGAAGGCGGCGACCUGGUCCAUAACUGACGCUGAGGCGCGAAAGCGUGGGGAGCAAACAG